rnacentral:rRNA from 1 species
CAGUAGCCACGGGAAUACGUAGGUGGCAAGCGUUGUCCGGAUUUAUUGGGCGUAAAGCGAGCGCAGGCGGUCAAUUAAGUCUGAUGUGAAAGCCCCCGGCUCAACCGGGGAGGGUCAUUGGAAACUGGUUGACUUGAGUGCGGAAGAGGAGAGUGGAAUUCCAUGUGUAGCGGUGAAAUGCGUAGAUAUAUGGAGGAACACCAGUGGCGAAGGUGACUCUCUGGUCUGUAACUGACGCUGAGGCUCGAAAGCGUGGGUAGCAAACAGGAUUAGAUACCCCGUAGUCCCUGUCUCUUAUACA